CCGCUUCCAGUUUUGCCUCCGGACAUUGCGGUUAUGGGUUUGGUUUCCUCCUUCGGUUUCCUCCACCCGCCUUUCGGAUGGUGCAGUGAGUUCAAAUUCUACUCAUCUAGAAAGAGGCUCACCUAUCAACUCAACAAAACACUCGGAACGCAUUAAAACGCGGGCUCGUGAUGACGAUUCUUCCGGAGAGCUUGAGUCGUAAACCUUUAGCAUCUUUACACGUUUCGAGGAAGAAAUAAAUAAUGAAUGCAAGGCGGCAUGACUGCAAGCAUCCGAACAUUCCAAGGUAAAUGAAGAACUCACUUUGAUUCCGAUUUUCUCAGUGUCCAAAGUCGUUCUGUUCAGCUAUCUUUUGACGUAAGCCACAGCAACAACAAUAAUAAUAAUAUUAAUCACGGUA